AUUGUAUUAUCUAAUUCCCCUUCUCCCACAAAUGAAUUGUGGAUGUUCCGUGACCAGAGGUGAAGCCAUCCCACAGCAGUCCUUUGAGAAAGCCACAGAUCCAGUCCUCUGACUGACAAAAGGGAUGUUGCUAAUAAGGGAGGAAGAAGUUAGAUGGCAGCAAGAGUAGCCAUUGGAUCACAAAUACCAAAUCUAUCUGCUCCCCUAAUUAGUUUAGGCUGCCACCUAGGCGUUCUGAAUGGCUAACAUGUUGUCUCUUAAGGCAUCAGUUGCUUUCAUGUGCCUAACAGGUCUUUUACCAAUGUGCCUGCCACAUUCCCGCUGCAAUACUCACGAAGCUCCUAUCGGCUCUAUUCUGCCCAGAAUCGCUAAUUAACACUCCUCUGAAAGUUCACCAGUGCUCUCUCGGGUCCCUUGGGAGGGAAUCGAUUGCAAGGAGGCUUUACCUGGGUGACAUGCUCCAUCAAACACCUUGGCAAACGAGCUCCUCAACUCCAGGGAACCUUGGAUCAGGGGCACUCAGCCCUGUCAAUGGGCACAGAGGGGAUGUUUGCCUCACUUACAGUCUAGGCAGCUAUCCAUUCUUUGGCACAGAAGCUGACCUUGUGUUUGAUCUUGCACUGCUCCAACAAAUCUGGAAGGUUACCGAAGAAGCACGGGAUUUAGAGACAGAUGCUAUCUUCUGAAAACAAGAAGGAGCUAGUUUGGGAAGGUAUUGGUUUAAAGGGAGAGGUUGUAUUUUGUUGUGGUUUUCAACUAAAUGGUAACAACAUCCUCACCUGUUAUAUAUUUCAGUUGAAAUUUAAGUUGGCAAUUCCAUGUUCUCAUUGAUUAUUACAAUAGUCUAAUUGGAUGGAGGCCUGUUACUCAGAGUCUCUUUAGGCCCCAAAUCUACAAAAUCAAUACAUGAUGCUUUCUUCCAUUAAGAGAUAUGAGAUCCAGAGAUUCCUAGAAUCAAUUACCAAGAGCUUCCAAAGAACUUGCUAAGAUUAUAAGAAACCAAAAAUACAAAAUAAAACGGUGCCUGCAUUUAUACUGCCCCAUAAUACUACUGGGUUUCAUUUGAGGUUAAGCACAUAGAAGUGUGCCUUCAGAACAGUGCUGUUUGUGGUCCCAGCAUCUGACAUAAGAUUCUGUAACCCCGUCACCAAAAGUCUUCCAUACAGAUAUGCACGGAUGAGCAACAGUUUAAGAAACUGGGAAGGUGAUGUGCUAGUUUUCAGCAAGAUAGUAGACUGUGAUUCUCUUCACCCUGUGUGGGAUGAAGGAUUACUUCACUCUACAGCUGAGAACACAGAGAGGCAGAACUUUUCUGGAUGCUUUUAGUUUUGGCCUCUUCUGCACAAAGAAUUAAGAAGGAAUAGGAGCCAAAAAGGACUAGCUGAAGUCCUGGUAGGAGGCCCAAGAAAGAGGGGUCCUUUUAAAUUGAAAAUUUCAAAUUUCAAAGGUAGUCAAAUACAUUUAAGCAAGCCAGUAGGGGGUUUCUUUUGCUUGUUCACUAAGGGACUCCUAAAGGUGCUGUUCAAUUGAUUGUGAAAUUUGUUUUCCAAUUUCUUCAAUUGGACUCUUCCUGGAAGCCCAUUGUUCAAAGCAUCCAAAGAGCCUUAGCAUAAAGCAGUUGCCCUUGGAGAGGCAGCUGCAUUCAUGCCUGAAGACAACUGUAGGGUGGGGCACCAACAGGCUUCUCUUUUGCUCUUCUGAAGUGGGAUGUCCCAGUGUUUGGGAAAUAAUAUCUUUGAAACCACUGUUAGUAAGUCAGAAAUGUUUUCCCGAGAGAACAGACUGAAUUCAGCAGUUUUCAAGGAUAUUACUCAGCACACCCCAGUAUAGCCAUACAGAGAACAACUGUUAGGUGCUGGCAUUUAUCUAGUACUUAAUGUGUUUUGAGCACCAUGCUAAGAAUUGUGUGUGUUACCUCAGUUAACAUCCCUGUGAUAUGGCUGGCUAGAUCCCUCAACUUACAGACAAGAACAAGAGAUUAGAAAUAUGAACACAGGUCUCACAAGACUCUGAACCCUACUAUACUGAAAAGACACCUCUCUCCCACUGGGAUGUCCAUAGUAGGAUUAAUCAAGCAAUGUAUGCAUAGGACCAGGUGAACUUUCCAUUUGGAAGGAGGGAAUAACAGAGCCCUCAGUUGCUUCUUGCAACUUGCCUUCUCAGCACACAGCUAGGAGCUACUGAAUGUCAAACACUAUAGAUGGACAGCUAGAAAUUUCUGCAUAUGGAAUUUAUGUAUCCUGUCUAACAAGUGUCAAAACAAACUGAAAAUAUCCCCCCCAGCUUUGUAAGAUGUACACAUGUAAUUAUCUCAUUAUAUCUUCCUUGACCCUGUGGGAUCUGCAAACUGAGUUACCUACUAUAUGCAGAUCCCCAGGCCUCAGGGUUCUCUUUGUUAUAUGCACUUUCUUUUGUGUCAUUUGGUUUUAGACCCUGGUCCAUCCCUUACUUUCCUCCUUCUUCCAUGAGUAUGUGUUCUAGAAAAGGGACAAACAGUUAUUUUUCUGCCAAUCUGAAAGAAAUAGAAGAGAAAGAUGAGAUAGAGAUUUACUUAGAGAGAAUAUGCACAUGUUAUUCUGGACAAAAUUACUUAAAAUAUCCCUAUUGAUUGAGUUCUUUGGGUACAGCCACACAGUUAAGUGUUCCCAUACAAAUGCAGUCUACACUGUCACCCUUGUCUAUACAGAAGCCAUUGAAGAAUGGCCAUGAGCAAGGCCACUUAUCACUAUUGCUCUGUCUUCUAUUGAAUUUUUCAGUACUCUUGAAAAUUGGAUGACCUUAAGUCAGUAAGUUAAUAUUAAAAUAAGCACCCUUUUACUCUGAGAUGAUUAACCUAUUGGCGCUAAAAUCUCUAAGGCAGAGUCACCCUGAUGGAGCAACUUUGAAACUCUGAGAAUUCUUACAGUUACUUCAGGUUGAGUGAGCACUUGUCUCAGUAGGUAGACUGGACAUUUAGUCCAAUUGCACUGAUAACCACUAAGUACUGUGUGUUCUCUUUGUCCCUGCCUCCUCAGCCCAUUACUUCUCGCUAAGUUGGCAUCAACAGUAGAAGUCAGGUGGCGGUUACAUUUUACUAAAGAACGUUCUGAUGUGGUUAAAUGUGCCAUGUCCUCCAAAGGAUUCUGUCACAUGUGAGCCCAUGCUCUCCAAAUGAUAAUCUCUCUAGUUCUUGGUAGGAAUGAACUGGUCAUGACAAAACCUCUGGGUUUUUUUUGUUUUUUUGUUUUUUUUAUAUCCUGUCCUUUAACCUCACAGAAGCUAAUAAUUGACAAAGAGGAGCUAUCCAGCUCCAUUUGAUUGAAUUCUUAAUUGUUUUGUGGACCUUUUCCCAUCCCUAAAGUAUCUAAAUAUCUCCUGGUUGAAGUGGUCUUGAGGAAUGGAGCUUCAUCUUCAGCCAUUUAUCCAGGGUCAGUGCUGUUUGCCAGGGACUAUUUUCACAUCAACAUGUACUCAAGGAUCAUGCCAAAGAAAAACCCAGUACAGAGUCUGCCCUCCCCUUCUAUCUCAUAUUUCUCAGGACACUUUAAAACAAACAAACUAUUGAGUAAGCCAUCAAAGAAAAAAUGACUUUGGUACUUAAUAUGCUAUGCCAUCCGUCUUCUUUGAAAACAAUGAAAGGAACC
rnacentral:lncRNA from 1 species